AUUGAACGCUGGCGGCAUGCCUAACACAUGCAAGUCGAACGGCAGCACGGCAGUAGCAAUACUGUGGGUGGCGAGUGGCGGACGGGUGAGGAAUACGUCGGAAUCUGCCCAGUCGUGGGGAUAACUAGCCGAAAGGUUAGCUAAUACCGCAUACGACCGAGAGGUGAAAGCGGGGACCGCAAGGCCUCGCGCGAUUGGAUGAGCCGACGUCGGAUUAGCUAGUUGGUGGGGUAAAGGCCCACCAAGGCGACGAUCCGUAGCUGGUCUGAGAGGAUGAUCAGCCACACUGGAACUGAGACACGGACCCGACUCCUACGGGAGGCAGCAGUAAGGAAUAUUGGUCAAUGGAGGCAACUCUGAACCAGCCAUUCCGCGUGAAGGAUGAAUGCCCUCUGGGUUGUAAACUUCUUUAGUCUGGGGAAGAAAAACNUAUAUUCAUAGUAUGUCUGACGGUACCAGAGAAUAAGCACCGGCUAACUCCGUGCCAG
rnacentral:rRNA from 1 species